AACGAACGCUGGCGGCAUGCCUAACACAUGCAAGUCGAACGAUACCUUCGUGUCUAGUGGCGCUCGGGUUCUUAACGCGUUGUAACCUUCCCUUAUGUUCGGUAUAACUCCCCUUAUUGUGUUCUAAUACCGGUUAAUGUCUUCGGUCCAAAGAUUUAUCGCCUUUGUUUGGGCCCGCGUUGUAUUAGCUUGUUUGUAGGGUAAAAGCCUACCAAGGCGACGAUCAAUAGAUGGUCUGAGAGGAUGAUAAGCCACACUGGGACUGAGACACGGCCCAGACUAGUACGGGAGGAAGCAGUGGGGAAUAUUGGAAAAGGGGCGAAAGCAUGAACAAGAAAUGAGGCGGGAGUGAUGAAGGAGGUAGGGUAGGAAAGCACAUUUACAAGGGAAGAGAAUGACAGUAACGGGAGAAUAAGCACCGGCUAACUCCGUG
rnacentral:rRNA from 1 species